GGGGAUUUAGCUCAGUGGUAGAGCGCUUUCCUAGUAAGUGAAAGGCCCUGGGUUCGGUCCCCAGCUCCA
rfam:Rattus norvegicus chromosome X, whole genome shotgun sequence.